rnacentral:ncRNA from 2 species
GAGCAGUGACACUCAGUCGUUAUGUCACCCUAAAACUGGACUUAGAGUCACAGGGACGGAAAUUCUGGGCGGUAGCAGAGACUUUAUUCACUAUCCUUUACAGGACGCCAUUAGCCUUGCUGACUAAUAU